ACACACACACACACACACACACACACACACACACACACACACACACACACACACACACACACACACUUCUGCUCCUCAUCUUACUUGUCACCUGCACUCACGCACUCACCUAUUCUCUCUCUCUCUCUCUCUCUCUCUCUCUCUCUCUCUCUCUCUCUCUCUCUCUCUCUCUCUCUCUCACACACACACACACACACACAUCACGUACAAUACAAAUUUACAAGAAUUCUUAUAACGUAAUGUGAGGCCGUGACCAAGUGGAAGUGCACACAAUGAUUGGCCAGUGAAAGUAUGUAAGUGUGUGUAUGUAUGUAUGUAUGAACACAUGAGUGAGCUUCAUGCAUGGCCCUCAUAUGGACUUCCAGGAGAUGUGAGAGAAAGGAGAGUCGAAAAGGGUUGGGAAAGGAAGGAGAAUAGCAGGAGGGGUGUGUGUGUGUGUGUGUGUGUGUGUGUGUGUGUGUGUGUGUGUGUGUGUGUGUGUGAAGUGAAUAGGAUCGAGUGAAUUAAAAGGGAGACGGAGAGGAGGAAAAUGUAUAUAUAGGUGAAUGGACGGGCGCUUCAAAGAGCGAAGGGCUUAAGGAGGGGCUGAUAAUUAAGGAGUGGAGGACUGAGUGAAUGAAAUGAACAGAGGGACUGAGAAAAGCCUGUAAGAGAGAGAGAGAGAGAGAGAGAGAGAGAGAGAGAGAGAGAGAGAGAGAGAGAGAGAGAGAGAGAGAGAGAGAGAGAGAGAGAGAGAGAGAGAAGCCCAGUAAUUCUAUCUGAGGGUGUAGUGUUCAUCGCUUGAUCCCUGGAGAGAGGACACGUAAGAAACGGCUAACCGACUAGAACAGACAAAACUUGGGUUAGGCCUCACAAAGGUAACCGACCAGCCUCCAUUACCCUCAAGUGAGAGAACGCUCACCCUCAAUAGUAACACAACCUGACCUAACCUGACCUGACCUCAAGCUAGAGAGUCAGUCCUCGCAUCACUAUUAUAUUAUUAUUUGUGAUUUUUGUGCCUUUUCAUGCAUAUUGUUUCCUUUAUUUUGAGACGCCUCUGUUUGAUAAAUUAGGACGAAGGUGAGAAGGGGCGGUACCUUGUGAGGGGGUGUGAGGGGGCAGAUGUGGGGGGUGAUAGGCAAUGGUAUCGUCUUGCGUAUAGGCUUUUCGUACACACACACACACACACACACACACACACACACACACACACACACACACGGGAUAGUAUCAAGUCGUCACCGAGGUUCAUGACCCCUUUCCGAGCCUCGAAGCAGGAUACAGGCGGUCUAGGCGCUACGAAUGACUGCCUGGGAGAACGACUCACUGAUUGACGGACUGUUUGACUCACUGGCCGCCUGACUGAUGUCCUCUUGUUUGCUUGUCUGCUUGCCUGCUUUAUUGAUUGGCGGGGCUGUCUGACUUUCCGCUUGGAUGACUCCUGCUGGCUGACGAACUCGUAUUGUUUAUUAUAAUUUGUCUGAAGUUUCUGAUGUCAUUCAUGUGCUAUGUAUCAUUUUUCCGUUGUAAUAUUGUAGUGUAUCAGUCCUUUCCCUCUUUCUACCUUAUUUUAUUAUCUGUCGGUGAUAUGAGAAGGAGAGUAAAGUGAGAUAUCGAGGAUGAAGUAGAAAGGAAUCGAGAGUCGCAAGAAGACUACUUUACGGACGGUCUGUUUUUGCAUCUAUUUAUCUAUUUUUCGUUAAUAAGAGAAGAAAAAUAAGGUGAGAUAUCGAGGGUGAGAUGGAAAAAUAUAUCGAGGGUGAGAUGGAAAAAUAUAUCGAGGGUGAGAUGGAAAAAUAUAUCGAGGGUGAGAUGGAAAAAUAUAUCGAGGGGUGUUGGGCGACUAUUAUACCUUAUGUCGGAUCAUAACAACUCUUGCUUACUGUUUACAAGCUAGAUUCUGUCUUAGGCGACACGGAUUGAGGAAAAGAUGCAGAGAUAUACAGUAUAUUCAGCGACGACUUUCUCCCACUCCCUCCGGCUGAUGCAGGAGGGGGAAACUGUUUUAUGCAGCCUUAUGGGACCGGUCUGAAGAGGAGAAAGUUGAAAAUAGGGAUGACAGUAAAGAGAGGGUAGAGGAGUUAGAGGAAGCGGAAGAUAAUGGUGUAUGAAAAGCAGGUAGAUGGAGAAAGAAAUUGUAGCUGUAAAGGUAGAAGAGGUAGAGAAGACAUGCAAGAAGGAAAUGUGCGUUGUAGGGAAGGGAGAGGGGAAGGAAACCAGAUGGAAGGUUCCGAAGAGUUUUGGAGAAGCAGAAAGAGUGCGAGGAAUGGGAAAGUAUGUGAAAUGUAAGAGGAGUAGGAAUUCAGGAAGAGAGAGGUAUUCAUAGAGUGAAGGAGGUGAAGGAAAGGAAGAAGAGGAAGGGAGAUGACUGGAGUGGAGGGAGAGGAACGAUAGAUAAGGAAGUGAAAGGUAGGGAGGCAGGGAAGAGAGAAAAAGGGAUGGAAAUGUGUGUAGUAGAGGAGGGUGAGGGAAAGAAAGGGAGGUGGAAGGUAAGGAGGUAGGGGAAGGAGAAUCAUUGAUGUAGCUAAGGCAGGUAAAGGGAAGAAAAGAACAGGGAAGGUAAGGAGGUAUAAAGUCAGGAAGGGAGGGUGAGGGUGAGGGGAAGAAAAGAUGUAAGGUAGGGAGGUAGGGGAGUGGAUGUGGGUGAGGGGAAAGAAAGGAAGGGGAUAGUAAGAAAUUGACCCCGAAAUUGACCUCUUUUCCGGCCACCUCUUUGGGUUCUUUUUGGGAGCAGCGAGUAGCGGGCUUUAUUUUAUUAUUGUUUCCUUUUUUGUGUGCCUUUGAGCUGUCUCCUUUAUUGUAAAAAAAAAAAAAGAGAGAGAGAAUAGGAACAUCAGGAGGAGGAGGAGGGAGGGAGGAAAAGAUGUAAGGUACUGAGGUAGGGAAAGGAAAAAUAAGGAGACAGGAGAGGGAAGUAGAGAAGGAAGAGGAGAGGAAAACGAGAUGGAAGGCAAGAGGAUAUGAAAAUUAGGAAGAGAGGAGGAGGAGAAGGGAAAGGAAAGAAGGUGACAGGUAAGGAGGGAGGGAAAGGAAAAGUAGGGAAACAUAUGAGGGAAACAAUCGGAAAUGGAAGGUAAGACAAUACGUAUGAAAAUCAGAAAAGAGGAGGAGGAGGGAAACGAAAGGAAGUGGAAGGUGAGGAAGGAGGGAAAGGAGAAAUAAGGAGACAUCUGAGUGUAAAGUGGAGGAGGGUGAGGGGAAGGUAAGGAGUAAGGGAGAGUGAUGAGAGAUAUAUGUGAAUCGGAGAAGGGCGAGGAGAAGAAAGAGAGAUGUGAGGUAAAACUAAAAAGGUAGGGAGAAAUAGUGAUGGGGAUGAUUAAGGAGUUGAGGGUGAGGGGAAGAAAAGGACAUGAAAGGUAAGAGUUAGGAGAACCAGGAAGAAAGGAGACGAGGGGUGGAGGGGUGGGUGAGGGAGAACAUGGAGAAGAAGCAGGGGGUAAGUUGGGGGGGGGGGUGCCGGUGGAGGGGGCGUUGGCCUCAGGGUAAGGUAAAGGGCAGGACAGACAGACGGUGAGACACGUUUGGUAUUUCCCUGGACAACCCACCUCCUCCACCCUCCACCUUCUCACCUACCUGCACCUCCACGAACAACUCAUCUCCGGUAUCCUCCACCCUCCACCUCGCUUCUCCGCUCACCCCACCUGGACCUCCACUUGUCUCCAUCCUUCACCUCCACCUGCAGCUCCAUCUUGCCCCUCCCCUCCUCUCGCCUGUGCCUCCAUUCCCACCAUCAAACUCAGCCUCGUCCUCUCCUCCCCCUCCCCCGGCCUCCUCCAUAAUUAUCAUUUAACCUCCACUGACCUGCCUCCUCGCCUGCUGCACUCCUCCCUCCCGCCCUUUCCUGCUUUUUCCCCUCCUCUAACCGCAGAUCAUCUCUUCCUCCCGCACCUGAUACUCCCUCCCGCCCUCCUCCCUCCUACCUAUCGCCUCAGCAUACACACACACACACACACACACACACACACACACACACACACACACACACACACACACACACACACACACACCUCUGCCAGGUCGGUAUUUAUAUCCCUUUGGCCUCACCACUCUUCCUUUCAAGAUUAAUUAACUUCUGAUGGUGACAUGCGUUCUAACUCGUGGCGAAGUGCGUGUGCGCUCACUCCAAAGAAACGGUACUUGGGUGUUUACCAGGAACGUAUUAUAAUGAUCGAUCGUUAAUGAGAUGAAUGUUACACUUCACAUGUGAGAGAGAGAGAGAGAGAGAGAGAGAGAGAGAGAGAGAGAGAGAGAGAGAGAGAAUAUAAGUAUUUGACUAAACACUUUAUGCCGAAUAUCCAUGAUUAUAGCCCGUGUCUUAUGUCGACAAAGGCUACACAGAAAUACCAUGAAACACCGUAUUAUAAAACUGAUACUGUGUCCCGGCCCCUCAGCGCCGCGGCCUGACCCGCUGCAGUGGGCAUCGCUCGCAUCUGACCGCUUGACUGUAUAAUCUUCCGGCUUCAUUUCUUUUUUGUCUCGAUCAAGAAAGGAUGUCUGUGAGGAGAACGAAGUAGCCUGCCAUGAGGUGAGGAGGGGGGGCAGCAGGUCGCGGUUAGGGCUUGUUCUUGCUGCACCUGGUCUUGUUCAAAGGAGUAUCGUAUAACGUUCAUAAUAUUCUCGGACUGUGCGGCAAAAAACAUAUUGGAAACUGCAGUGUGUUAAUUUGUAUGAAAAUCAGGGAUGUGGUAUUAUUCUUAGUAAGAGAUACGAAGAGAUGGGGGAAGGCGCGGAGAAAAAAAAAAAAAAAAAAAAAGCAAAA